rnacentral:rRNA from 1 species
GAUCCUGGCUCAGGAUGAACGCUAGCUACAGGCUUAACACGUGCAAGUCGAGGGGAAACGACAUCGAAAGCUUGCUUUUGAUGGGCGUCGACCGGCGCACGGGUGAGUAACGCGUAUCCAACCUGCCCACCACCUGGGGAUAACCUUGCGAAAGUAAGACUAAUACCCAAUGACAUCCCACGAAGACAUCUGAAUGGGAUUAAAGAUUUAUCGGUGAUGGAUGGGGAUGCGUCUGAUUAG